rnacentral:tRNA from 1 species
GGGGUAGUAGCUCAGUGGACAGAGCAGCGGUCUUCUAAGCCGAAGGUCGAGGGUUCGACUCCCUCCUGCCUCGCCA